rnacentral:rRNA from 1 species
AAUGAACGUUGGCGGCGUGGAUUAGGCAUGCAAGUCGAGCGAGAACCCCGCAAGGGGGGACAGCGGCGAAAGGGACAGUAAUGUGUAGAUUAUCUGCCCUCAGGUCCGGGAUAGCUGCGGGAAACUGCAGGUAAUACCGGAUAACAUCUCCGGAUCAAAGGUGUGAUUCCGCCUGAGGAUGAGUCUGCAUCCUAUUAGCUAGUUGGUGGGGUAAUGGCCUACCAAGGCAUUGAUGGGUAGCAGGUGUGAGAGCACGACCUGCGUCAUUGGGACUGAGACACUGCCCAGACACCUACGGGUGGCUGCAGGCGAGAAUCUUCGGCAAUGGGCGCAAGCCUGACCGAGCGACGCCGCGUGUGGGAUGAAGGCCUUCGGGUUGUAAACCACUGUCAGAGGGGAUGAAAUGCAGGUGGGUUCUCCCAUCUGUUUGACAUAGCCUCAGAGGAAGGACGGGCUAAGUUCGUG